rnacentral:rRNA from 2 species
GGUUAAGUUAAUAAGGGCGCACGGUGGAUGCCUUGGCACUAGGAGCCGAAGAAGG